GUUAGGAAUAUUGGACAAUGGGCGCAAGCCUGAUCCAGCCAUGCCGCGUGAGUGAAGAAGGCCUUCGGGUUGUAAACUGCUUUUGUACGGAACGAAACGGUCCUGGUUAAUACCUGGGGCUAAUGACGGUACCGUAAGAAUAAGCACCGGCUAACUACGUGCCAGCAGCCGCGGUAAUACGUAGGGUGCGAGCGUUAAUCGGAAUUACUGGGCGUAAAGCGUGCGCAGGCGGUGCUGUAAGACAGGCGUGAAAUCCCCGGGCUCAACCUGGGAAUUGCGCUUGUGACUGCAGUGCUGGAGUACGGCAGAGGGGGAUGGAAUUCCGCGUGUAGCAGUGAAAUGCGUAGAUAUGCGGAGGAACACCGAUGGCGAAGGCAGUCCCCUGGGCCUGUACUGACGCUCAUGCACGAAAGCGUGGGGAGCAAACAGGAUUAGAAACCCCGGUAGUCC
rnacentral:rRNA from 1 species